AAAGUCACCAGGUGUCUAAUGGAAGGUGUAUAAUUUGUGGGAGGCUGGAAUUAGUAGCCAGAAGGAACUAGAAUAACAGAAUUUCAGACAUUUACAUCUUUUUUUGGAGGAGUGAGGAAUUUGGAACUUGCCAGAGCAUGCAAAGAGGGUUUGAGUCAAUCUUAUUGAGCUCUUAAGGGGCUGGAAGAUUUUAGUUGACACUGAUGUUGCAUGCCCAUUAAGCAGUUUCAGCAAGAACACCUGAAGAGCUGAGUUUAAUCAAACCAGUGGCAAGUGAUAUAUUAUUAACUGGCAGCUAUUUCUGGCACCUCGCAUAGUGUCAGGUACAUGGUUGUCCCUGAAUAAAUAAUUGUCUUUUGAAUAAAAAUAAUGAAUAAAUGAAUGACUGGUUGUUUUUAAACAACAAUAAUUACUAGCUAGAAGUCACUGCAUUAUUUCAUUCUGUUGUGCUCAUAAAUAAUCAGAAACUCUUUCCCACUGCCACAUUGUUUAUAUCUUUAUCUUGUGACUUAGAGCAUAGGCUACAGAUGGUAGCUAAUGCCUUCUAGUUUGUGACCAUGGCACCUAAUGCAUGUGUCAUGACUAAGACCAAAAAGAAGGUGGUACUCAAUUCAUCAAAUUCCACAUACUGAGGUUAAUUUGGUGAGAUAAUGCACAUCAAAUGCAAAGCACAAAGUCUGUCAUGGCCAAUGUUUAUUCUUUUCCUUCCAAAAAUUUUGCAUUAACCAUUUUCUAAAAUGAAAAGCUUCUUAUAAUGCGUCAUAACUUUUAAACCCAAUUUUGGGUUGAACACAUUUUGUUCUAUUUUCAGAACAUAUUAAACUCUUUUUUUCUUUCUUUUGGUGAUUUAUUUUCAUGAGCAUUCAUUUACCCUGCAAGUAUUUACUGAGUGCACAUUUCCAGACUGUGAUGCAAUGGUGGUCUUGAGGGCAGGCAAUUGACAACAUUCUUCGUUGCAAAUAACAGAAUCUGCUCUACUAGUUAAGUAAUAAAAUAAAUGUAUUCCAAGGUAUUAGAGAGCUCACAGCAUUAUAGAGGACAAGAGAAUUAGAUAUGGAGCCCCCUAAGCAGCACGAAUGAUGCUUAAAUGGUACCACUGGUCACUCUAGGCGAGACCCAAGUGCUGCUACCACCAGGCACCAGUUUUACAGAUUUCACCACAGGUGCUCUGUGCAGGGUGCUAUUUCCUGACCUCAGCCACUGCUUCAUCUGAAAUAUGAGUUCUUUCUGCUACACUUUGUCACUAUAACCAGGAAAUGGAUUCCAUAUGGCAACUACUUUCUCUCCCAAAUCCAAGUUGAGGAUAUGUGAUUGGUGGAGUUGAGGUCACAUGUCCAUGUCUUAGUUACAAGGGUGUCUGAAAAAGUAAAUAAGUGAAUUCUGGCUUCUACCUGAGGGAGGCAGACUUAUAAUGUAGUGUUGGGGCCCAGGGCAGGCCACCCCCAAAUAUCCCACAAUGGCAUAUUGAUUAUUUUGAAUUAAAGUUACUUAUUCUACUUGAAAAUUUGACCCUUCUCUUUCUGUUCCCUCUGAAAGCAGGAAAUAAAUCUCCCAUGUAAAAUUACCCUACCUGCACCAGGAGAUAGAGACAUCCUUAUCACCAGAGCUAGGGAAUUUAGGGCUAAGAAGGCUGUAUAAACAAACCUUGUUGCUUUUACUAAUUUACUUCCUCAAGCCUAAAUUCUGCUCAAUUCCUCACUAAUUACAUACCCAAACUUAAGUUUCCCUGUCCUAGCAAAUCCUCACAAAUUUGUUGUUUUUUGUUUGUGUAAAAAGAUAUAUAAAAUGCCUGCUUUGUUCAUUCUCUGGGCAUCAAUUUUUAUGAUCUCCUGUGCUGCAUAUUAAAUUGUUUUUUCUCCUGCUAAUCUACUCUUAUGUCGCUUUUAUUAUUAGUCCAGAACUCAAGAAGGGUAGUGAGGGGGAUUUCCCCCUCCCUGACAGUGGGAAAUUCUGCAAACAUAGAAAGGCUGUUCAAAACAUGCUAGGUAGCCACACCACAUGACAUACAUCCUCCAUGGCCGUGGAAUCAUGUAUGAGCAUAUGCUGAAGCAUAUUUUGGAGAAGGCAUUAUCUCCUCUAAAGGAUCUUAGCUUGCUGCUCUGUUUUACUAGCUCUUUCUUGGCCUUGUCUCUUCUUUACUCUUAGAAGUCAUUUCUCCCCAGUACUGAUUACAGGAAAAGAAUGUUUAUUCUUAUUAGUCAUGACAGGAGUUCAACAAUUUGUUGAACUCCUAAUAUGUUAUGGGCUAUAUGCAAGAGAGCUUUACAUUUUCUUUAAAUUUAUUCUUCAUAAAACCUUCAUAAACCUGUGAGAUAGAUAUUCAUCCACCCUUGAAUUUUAUAGGUGAGGAAACAGGCUCAGAGCAGUUAAGGUGUCUUCCUGGGAUCCAUGGUGCAAUACAGAGUGAAUGACAGAGCUGGAAUUUGAGCCCAGGCCCCCAGGACUUCAACCCUAGUACUCUUCUUGCCCAUUAUAUUAAAUCUUUCUCUUAAGUUCACACAAAAUAGUUGAUCGAUAGACUAUGAAUUGUCCUCUAGGUUGAUUAAUUACUUAUAGGUAACUAGACUGACAUCUCUUUCCUCUACCAAUAAAUGAGUGAAUGGUUCUGAAUUCAUAUAAGAGAUUCAAAAAUAUGAACAAAGUGAUUGCCACAUGGUGGCACCCCUUCCAGAGAAAAAUCCACCUGCAGUGGAUUAUGUAAACUCUGUAAGUUCUGAAUAAAGCAAGCUGGGAUUGCUGAUCUUGCAAGAAAUGCAAUGGGGAUUCAAGAACAAGUAAGGCUCAGUCUCCACCUGCAGGGGUGCAGAGUCAGACAGGGUCCCAAUUAGUUGCUCUGUGGGUCUGGUUUGAUCAGUCUCUGGUAACUCUAACUAGUGCCUAUCCUUUGACUUAUCUCCUAAUCUCCCUCACCUUCAUCUUCUUAUCUACUAACACCAAAUAGUGAAAUUGCAGCUUUAAGUCUCUUUCCUCUUUCAAACUUCAAUGACUCUAUAGAUUUGCCUACCAACCCACUUAUCUCAUGAAUAAAGGCUUAACACAGGUUCGUGUCUGCACGAUGAUUACUACAUCUACCUUGAGGAGUCACUAUGGAUACUCAAAUGUGUAUAUUUCUAUGGUUUAUGCUUUCACCAGAGAUGUUGGCUUUUGAUAAUAUUAGCUAAGUCUGAUUUCCUGUAAAAUUCACAUACACUUUUAAAAUUCAAAGACUCUUUUAUUUCCUAAUAGACAUGAAUGAUUUUUAUCUUGAAAGAGACAUAUUGUUAUUUUUAUAAAAAUAGGUUUGAGAAAAAUGUAAAACAAACAAUAUUUUUCCCUCCACAGAACCUACUUUUGUGUGUUUGUGCAGAGACACUCAAACUGUGUUCCAUGGCAUACCCAGGACAUGUGUGAGGGGCUCCCAGGGGAUGGGGUAGAGGGAGAGCUGGGGGUACCCACAGAAUCACAGCCCUUACCCACUUCCCCAGGACCACUCUGCUUGACCUUGUUCUAUGUCGACUUUCAUUUGAAAAAAGAAUUCCACUGCUCACAUGAGUUUGGAAGCCGCUGAGGCAGAGAAGGAUUGAGAAACAGCAAUUGUUCCUAGUCAUGGAUGAUGUGAAGGGAGUAGGUUAGGAUGCACCUUCAGACCUUUUCACACUUGGGUUUCAGUUAGCUUUUUUCCCCCAAGAAACAAAUUCUCAGCAUCCAACAUAUCCAUAUUCGUUUGUCAGUUCAAAAUUGUGUUCAAAUCAAGUAUAUAUUGCUUGAGCAAAUCUGCCAUUUUGGAUUACUCCCAGGCCAUUUUGUCCAUGAAAACAAAUCCUAGAAACGUCGUUUUCCCCAAAUAAUUUAGGUGAGGGAUUCUUGCAGUAAAUUAGGGAGGACUAACAUCGUGUGGUACACUCAAUUUGCACUCUCGUUUCUGGGAGGUGUCAGAGGUGUUGUGUAAAUCUUCCUGGAUUUCCUAUUUUUCUGGAAAUUUCUAAUUCAGUUUGUAAAACUUGAGUUUUCCUGUGGCUAAGAUUGUCACAUUGGGUCUCCAGUUCUUACUCUGCCUUUUUUUACCCCACUUAGCAAAAUUUCUUCUGCUCUGUUUCAAAAUGGGGAAGGGACUUUAAAAACACCUGCAAGUGUUCCACUGGUUUUUUUCCAACUCCCCUCAGCCUCAAUUGCUCUAGGGCUGACACAAAUGUCAGCUUCGAGUGGGUAGAAUAUUCCCUUCUCUGCGUGUGGGUAUUUUUUCUCUGUGCCUGGAUCUGCCUAUGGGUUUGAUCUCUCCCAAGCGCUGGAAAUGUGUGGUUGACAUUAUGUUGUGCGUGACUUGCAUAUAAUUGGCCAAUAUCACGUCUGGCUACACUUGUCACUGAUCGCAGGAUUCAUUUCAUUCUUUUCCUACAUUUGGAGACUCGGGGAUCUCUCUGCUUCCCCCGUACACGCACACAGUAACCAAUGACCUUUAUUCUUGCCUCCUUUUAAUGGUGCUGUGGCCCUGCUCCUCGGAGCCUCAGCGAACCACCAGCUGACAGCUCAGUGGAGAGAGCACAAUGACCCCCGAAGCAGAGCUGGACUCAUUAGCAGGCUUCUCAGGCCCCUCUGUGCACAGUGGACAUCGCAGUAGAUGGAGAGGAGAUUUGGGAACCCUGAACCAUUGUGUGAGAAGUCUGACCACCUGAAGCUGCUAAGCUUGUGAGACCUCAUGGAGAGGCCACGUAGAAACAAAGAGUUGUCCAGGGAGCCCCACUGCUCCAGCCACACCUAUUUGAGAUGACCCCAGAGUCAGCCACCAGCUGACUGAGACUUCAUGAGAGACCCCGAGACAGAACUUCUCAGCUGAGAUGCUCCCAAAUUCCUGGCCCACAUAAGAGAUAAUCAAUGAUUAUUUUUGUUUCAAGCCACAAAGUUUUGGGGUGACUUAUUAUACAACAAUUGAUAACUAAUAUAGAAAGUUUCAUAGUCAAUAAUCAUUAUAGUCUUCUUUAUUAAUUAGUUUACAACAAUUUGAUUGUCUAACAUUUUUGUAGUACUAGUUCUAACUUUUAUUGUGAAUUUGAUAUGUGUCAAGCACUAUCCUUAGUGCAUUGCAUAUAUUAACUCACUUAACUGUCACAGCAACAAUGUUUAAUUAUCAAUGCUACAUGUGUAAAAGGAAGCAUAGAGAAGUGAAGUAAUUUGCUUGAUGUCACACAGCUAGUAAGUGAUAGAUGAGGAAUUAAAAAAUCAAGGGCCAGCCCUGAUGGCCUAGUGGUUAAAGUUCAGCACUCACAGCUUCAGUGGGUCAGGUUUGGUUCCUGGGUGUGGAACCACACUACUUGUCUGUCAGUUGCCGUGCUGUGGCAGCAGCUCACAUAGAAGAACUAGAACAACUUACAACUAGGAUAUACAACCAUGCACUGGGACUUUGGGGAGGAAAAAAGAAGAGGAAGAUUGGCAACAGAUAUUAGCUGAGGGAGAAUCUUAAAAAAAAAAAAAAUCAAGUACAUGCAUUAUUCCAUCAAGUCUAAAAUCACAAAGUCACACAGAAUCAUUUUUUGAAAACUGCCAGGACUUUAUAAUAAAAAUGGGAUUUGUACACAAGAA